CGUAAUGCCAAUGGGCAGCAAAGAUGGUAGCAACAUGUUGGAAAAAAGCUGUUGUGGCGUACAUUGUACACCAACAAAAAGCUAUGGACUUACCGCUUCUGCGUGGUGAUACGAGAAGACAAAUUUCAUGGAACCUUUUCAGCGCCUAAAUAGAAGAAGAUUGAAGAUAAAGAUGGCAUUUCCUCCAUCUAUAAUAAAAAGCCCACCAGGUUACUUAACCGCCGCCUGGCACUCGGCGUUACCUCAUGCAAGUUUGUCUGUACACUCAACUAUCUUGUACACUGACCAUGAUGGAACCAACAAAUUUCCAUACUGUUUGCAAGAAAGAAGAGAGAGGUGGCUCUGGUAUCCAUGGUCACCUGAACUGUCAGAACUUUGAUAAAGGGAAACUGCACAGUCUGGACAAUCUAAUGAUUCCAAAAUUUUCUUAACAAUGUAGCCUGAAAUGUAGUGGAGGACAUCAGAUCUCCAAACAUUAUUUGUAAGUAGCAUAUUUGAGAUGUUCGAGUCAAUCUUAUUAUCUGGAAUGUUUUUAGAAUUUUCAAAAUCAAUACAGUUUGCUGUUGAUGGAGAUUCAAUCUUAUUUUUUAGAAGUAACUGUCUCAAAGCAUAUUUGAACUGGAGUGCAGUUGGAUUAUUGUUCCAACCUAGUCUACUUCGAAUUUUGGAAAAGUACAUCUCCAGUUGGUCUUGAGAGAAGCGAUAAGUCAGAACAUACUCAAAUGGUGCUUCUGAUCGUUCUAACAAGCCUCUGCUGAUUUUCAAGAUUGAAAUUGAUGAGACAGCAAAACCGAGAAUAAAAGCCUUCCUUGGACCAUUUACAAUAGGCCGGCCUGCUGUAUCUUUAAGGGAUUUAAGGGUCUCAAUUCCAUUCAGUAAAUAGGCUUCUAUAUCAUAGAAAUUUUCUAAGCUUAUAGGCUUCUUUGUAUGCUUUCCAAAUUUACUUUUCGAGUUAAGCAUAUCAAAGAUAUUGUUCAUCAGAAGAAUGAAGUCGCUGGUUGCUUUGCUGUCCUUAAAUUCUUGCAACCCCAGAUUUCUCAAAAAAGUUAUUGCAGAUGCCACAGAAUGGCUUAAAGUCUGCGCUGCAACACUGACCUUCAUUUUAUGAUUCUGCCACUGAAUAUGCUGUCUUGAGUUUAUUUGCAAGAUUAAGUAUGUCAUUUUUUUGUGUUCUAUAGAGUGCAAGAACAUACUCCCAAGAUAUUCUUUGUCCACCUGGGGUACAAAAGAUCUUGAUGGUGGAAAAGGCAUUUCUUGCAAGCUUCAGCAUGUGGCAGAUAUCAAGAAUUACAAAGAUCUUUUCAUUGGAGUUUGAUGGAUGUGGAAAUGAUGUACCAAGGUGUUUUAUAUCACAUCCAAGUUUCUCAGCCAUGCUUACAUUUUUAAGAGCACCAUCAAAGAUGACUGCAUGAACUUUAGCUCCUCUCUCAUUGAUGCAAAAGCAUGAUCGAGUUUGACCUGCUUUGGAUCAAGUGUGGGUGGUGUUUCUGCUUGCUUAGGAUCAGACCUUUUAACAGGAGAGGCUCUUUUCUUUGUACAUGGCUUUUGCAGAUGUGCAGGGAAAUUGAAAACAGAGGGGACAGCAUCUUUAUUCAAAUACUUUUUACCUAAAGACUCUGAGUUUGGCAUGGAGGGAGGAUAGCUAUAGUCACUUGGAAGAAAAUGCUUUUCACAAAUUCGUUGCGAUGAAGAAGGAUGCCAAUGUUUACGACGCAUUGCAAUUAGCCAUUUAUGUAACAAUGACUGAUUCUGAAGUGGAAACGGAUUGGUUUAGAAUUGGGCUCAUAGUUAAAUAUAUAACAGUAUUUUUUGUACAAAAUAUAUGUUUUGUGAUUCUUCCACAUUAUUUGCAUAAUUGAAAACUAAGGACUUGCUUUUGGCUUUUGAAAAUACAAUUUUGUAAUAUUUGGCAAAGUUAACAUUUUGGUCGUUUUAUAUACUAAUAAAUGAAAGAGAAUUGAGCUCAAGAUAUUUGUCUGUCUUUGAAUUUUAGAAAAAUUAUGAGCUGCUAAUCUAAAAUGAAUAUUGCUUAAAAUAACCUGUAUUCUACCCCCCCCCCCUCUACCGUUAUUAUAAUCCUGUAUAAAAACAGGAUAGGAAUGGAAAUUUUAACCUAUCUAUGCAUUUCCUAAUAAACUCGUUACAAAAAGGGAUAUAUGGUACCACAUAGCUAAGUAUGUAUUUACUAAAAUACAUAAGAAUACUAUAUAUGCCCCCCUUUUUACCAGUUUGUUGGGAAAUUUUGCUAGAAUGUUAGAAAUUGUUGGAAAAUUUAUCUUCAAAAUCCGAAUUAUUUCGUGAGAUGAUUAUUAUGUCUCUACCAUCUGCUUGUAAACAUAGUAAUAAUGCUUGUAAACAUAAAUAUCGUUGAUGAAGAGCAGUUAAUCAAAAUAAUUAAUAAUAGUAUAAUAGAAUUUUUGGAAGUUUUUUUCUAUUUAAAUUCCUAUCAAGAAUAAAGAGAAACACAGUACACACAAAUGGGCCUAUUUACUUGUGGAACGAUAUGUUUGUUUGAUCGGGAAGCAAGUCUUUUUUAGGAAUCCAUCGAUUCUGGCAGCCAAAAGCAGCACACGACACUACCAUUUUCUUAUCUUUAAACGCUGAAUUAUCUUUAAAUGUU